rnacentral:rRNA from 1 species
UGCGUGAAGUCGGAAUCGCUAGUAAUCGCGGAUCAGCAUGCCGCGGUGAAUACGUUCCCGGGCCUUGUACACACCGCCCGUCACACCAUGAGAGUCGGGAACACCCGAAGUCCGUAGCCUAACCGCAAGGAGGGCGCGGCCGAAGGUGGGUUCGAUAAUUGGGGUGAAGUCGUAACAAGGUACC